rnacentral:rRNA from 1 species
UACAGAGGUCCCGAGCGUUGUUCGGAUUCACUGGGCGUAAAGGGUGCGUAGGUGGCGAGGUAAGUCGGAUGUGAAAGCUCGGAGCUCAACUCCGAAAUGGCAUUGGAAACUACCUUGCUCGAGGGUUGGAGGGGGGACUGGAAUUCUCGGUGUAGCAGUGAAAUGCGUAGAUAUCGUAAGGAAGACCAGUGGCGAAGGCGGGUCUCUGGACAGUUCCUGACGCUGAGGCACGAAGGCCAGGGGAGCAAACGGG